CGCGUAGGCGGCGGACCGAGUCGAGUGUGAAAGCCCCGGGCUCAACCUGGGAGGUGCGCUCGAGACUGGCCUGCUGGAGUUCGGGAGAGGAGCGUGGAAUCCCCAGUGUAGAGGUGAAAUUCGUAGAUAUUGGGAAGAACACCGGUGGCGAAGGCGGCGCUCUGGACCGAGACUGACGCUGAGGCGCGAAAGCGUGGGGAGCAAACAGGAUUAGAUACCCUGGUAGUCCACGCUGUAAACGAUGUGUGCUAGACGCUGGGGAGCACAGCUCUUCGGUGUCGCCGCAAACGCUUUAAGCACACCGCCUGGGGAGUACGGCCGCAAGGUUAAA
rnacentral:rRNA from 1 species